UUUGACCAAUAUGCAAUGUAACUCGAUAACAUUCAGGUAAUCUUUUACGAACUGUCUUUGCGAUAUUUCACCAAGCAACGUGAACAACUGUCAAAGAAAAAAAAAUUGGCAACGGUUUGGCCUUCUUGCUAUAAAAGGAUGCAAGAACUUCAAGGAAAGCCGCAGGGACAGAUUCUAAACUGCAACUUGUGAACCGACUUUGCAAUGAUGAAUCAAGCUAUUCUGUGUCAUCUUGGUUUGACUGCUAUGGUCGCCAUGUGCU